rnacentral:lncRNA from 1 species
CCAUCCACACAUCCUCUCAUGAAAGGGCAUCAUCUAAAGGGCCAUAUCAAAUAAGAGGAGGCGCAGAUCAAGUGAGGAGGUGUAUCAAAUGAUAUGUUCUUUCAUGUGGUGCCAUAUUUUGACCAAGUCAACAUCACAUGCCUAUCACAUGUCCAUCACGCCUCACCUCUUGAUCUUUCAUGAUGAUGAUCCAAGGGCUCCAAUGCAAGGCGCCAUUCACUUGACCCAUUAUGUCUUCAUCCAAUGGU